rnacentral:rRNA from 1 species
UACGGAGGGGGCUAGUGUUGUUCGGAAUUACUGGGCGUAAAGGGCGCGUAGGCGGCCACCGCAAGUCGACUGUGAAAUCUCCGGGCUUAACCCGGAAAGGUCAGCCGAUACUGCGGGGCUAGAGUGCAGAAGGGGCAACUGGAAUUCUCGGUGUAGCGGUGAAAUGCGUAGAUAUCAGGAAGAACACCAACGGCGAAGGCAGCUCGCUGGGGACGGAACUGACGCUAAGGCGCGAAAGCGUGGGGGAGCGAACAGG